UAGAUUGACGGGACCGCACAAGCGGUGGAUGAUGUGGAUUAAUUCGAUGCAACGCGAAAACCUUACCUACCCUUGACAUGUCCGGAAUCCCGAAGAGAUUUGGGAGUGCUCGCAAGAGAACCGGAACACAGGUGCUGCAUGGCUGUCGUCAGCUCGUGUCGUGAGAUGUUGGGUUAAGUCCCGCAACGAGCGCAACCCUUGUCAUUAGUUGCCAUCAUUUGGUUGGGCACUCUAAUGAGACUGCCGGUGACAAACCGGAGGAAGGUGGGGAUGACGUCAAGUCCUCAUGGCCCUUAUGGGUAGGGCUUCACACGUCAUACAAUGGUCGGUACAGAGGGUUGCCAACCCGCGAGGGGGAGCUAAUCCCACAAAGCCGAUCGUAGUCCGGAUCGCAGUCUGCAACUCGACUGCGUGAAGUCGGAAUCGCUAGUAAUCGUGGAUCAGCAUGUCACGGUGAAUACGUUCCCGGGUCUU
rnacentral:rRNA from 1 species